rnacentral:rRNA from 1 species
UACGUAGGGUCCGAGCGUUGUCCGGAAUUACUGGGCGUAAAGAGCUCGUAGGUGGUUUGUCGAGUUCGUGAAAACUCACAGCUUAACUGUGGGCGUGCGGGCGAUACGGGCAGACUAGAGUACUGCAGGGGAGACUGGAAUUCCUGGUGUAGCGGUGGAAUGCGCAGAUAUCAGGAGGAACACCGGUGGCGAAGGCGGGUCUCUGGGCAGUAACUGACGCUGAGGAGCGAAAGCGUGGGGAGCGAACAGG